rnacentral:lncRNA from 1 species
GCCCCGCGCUAUUUCACGUCAAGAUUUGGAGCUGCGGGAGCCGUCUGGUUGGCCUCAGCCCCUCCUUACGGAAUUGGCGUAAGGCAAAGAGGCGCGGCUGGAAGAACCAGACUGAGAAAGUGCCACAGGGCGGGGGCCGCAUCCGCCCCUCGGCUUGUAGCUACUGACCCGACGGCUUUGUGAGUGAAAGUGAGGAGACACUUCGAGAUAAAGAAGCUGAGACUCAGAAAGGUUAAGUGACUUUCCAAGAUCAUAUAGCUUAAAAGUGGCAAAAGGAAUGCUCAAACCCCAAUCGUCUGACUGCGAACUCUGGAUAGGAAUGGAGUAUUUGUUUUAUUGGAAAGGAGCAUCACUAGAACCAGAUGCAUGUGAUUCCUUGAAAUAUGGAGUCUUUUUGCUGUUUCUGCA